CUGACAGUCUUGGAAAAUGAAGUCCUCAAAAAAAGGAACAGCACCGGCAAUGGCAGUGCAAGUUUCCUCACACUGCCCUGCCAAUAUGCCCAAUCCCUAACCUGGAUAUCCACUUCUGGAAUGAGGAGGAUUUUCUAUGCUUACCUAGACUUGGAGAUC
rnacentral:sRNA from 1 species